rnacentral:rRNA from 1 species
UGAGGAAUAUUGGUCAAUGGGCGAGAGCCUGAACCAGCCAAGUCGCGUGAAGGAAGACUGCCCGCAAGGGUUGUAAACUUCUUUUGUAUGGGAUUAAAGUCACCUACGUGUAGACGUUUGCAGUUACCAUACGAAUAAGCAUCGGCUAACUCCGUGCCAGCAGCCGCGGUAAUACGGAGGAUGCGAGCGUUAUCCGGAAUUAUUGGGUUUAAAGGGUGCGUAGGUUGCAAGGGAAGUCAGGGGUGAAAAGCUAUAGCUCAACUAUGGUCUUGCCUUUGAAACUCUCUAGCUAGAGUGUACUGGAGGUACGUGGAACGUGUGGUGUAGCGGUGAAAUGCAUAGAUAUCACACAGAACUCCGAUUGCGCAGGCAGCGUACUACAUUACAACUGACACUGAAGCACGAAAGCGUGGGUAUCAAACAGG